rnacentral:rRNA from 2 species
UGCGGAAGGAUCAUUACCGAGUGAGGGCCCUCUGGGUCCAACCUCCCACCCGUGUUUAUUUUACCUUGUUGCUUCGGCGGGCCCGCCUUAACUGGCCGCCGGGGGGCUUACGCCCCCGGGCCCGCGCCCGCCGAAGACACCCUCGAACUCUGUCUGAAGAUUGUAGUCUGAGUGAAAAUAUAAAUUAUUUAAAACUUUCAACAACGGAUCUCUUGGUUCCGGCAUCGAUGAAGAACGCAGCGAAAUGCGAUACGUAAUGUGAAUUGCAAAUUCAGUGAAUCAUCGAGUCUUUGAACGCACAUUGCGCCCCCUGGUAUUCCGGGGGGCAUGCCUGUCCGAGCGUCAUUUCUGCCCUCAAGCACGGCUUGUGUGUUGGGCCCCGUCCUCCGAUCCCGGGGGACGGGCCCGAAAGGCAGCGGCGGCACCGCGUCCGGUCCUCGAGCGUAUGGGGCUUUGUCACCCGCUCUGUAGGCCCGGCCGGCGCUUGCCGAUCAACCCAAAUUUUUAUCCAGGUUGACCUCGGAUCAGGUAGGGAUACCCGCUGAACUUAAGCAUAUCAA